CUUCUGGGCUUCUUGCAAGCUGCAAGUGAAACAAAAAGAUUUAUCACUUAUUUAUUGAACCUCAUAUGUUUGGAAAUUUUCGUGUUUCAACCCAUAGUAAAUAUUACAAUCAUUGUAAUUAAUAGUUGCAGGUUCAAUAAUCAUUUAAAGACAUUCAAGAAUAUUCCAAACGACCAAAUACAACCAACUAAACAAGCGCCAUCUAUAAUACAAUAAGAUUGUUCCAUUAUAAGGUAUUUUUAUGUUGUAAAUUUGACAGGCCAUCAGCAUGUUGUGCGGAAAAUUAUAUUUUUCAUAUGUACAAAAGUCACACAAUAGAACAGAGUACUAACAGUGGUAACCUGUUAGUCAUCUUACACUUAAUAGCAGUUACAGCCUCCGCUUAAAAUUUUUCACUGUACCAGAGAAAAAGAAAAAGGGAAA
rnacentral:misc_RNA from 1 species